GCCAAGCAAUAAAUAAAUACAAUUAUUUUUUCAUUCUAUUCUACGGUACGUCAAGGUGAGACCUGCAUCAAAUGACUACAUAUUCGAUUUAUGAAAAGAUGAUAAAAUACUGGCAGUUUUGAAGCAUAUUUUUUUUUAAAUACCUUUAUAUUU